CAUUACCGAGUUUACAACUCCCAAACCCCUGUGAACAUACCAAUUGUUGCCUCGGCGGAUCAGCCCGCUCCCGGUAAAACGGGACGGCCCGCCAGAGGACCCCUAAACUCUGUUUCUAUAUGUAACUUCUGAGUAAAACCAUAAAUAAAUCAAAACUUUCAACAACGGAUCUCUUGGUUCUGGCAUCGAUGAAGAACGCAGCAAAAUGCGAUAAGUAAUGUGAAUUGCAGAAUUCAGUGAAUCAUCGAAUCUUUGAACGCACAUUGCGCCCGCCAGUAUUCUGGCGGGCAUGCCUGUUCGAGCGUCAUUUCAACCCUCAAGCCCCCGGGUUUGGUGUUGGGGAUCGGCGAGCCCUUGCGGCAAGCCGGCCCCGAAAUCUAGUGGCGGUCUCGCUGCAGCUUCCAUUGCGUAGUAGUAAAACCCUCGCAACUGGUACGCGGCGCGGCCAAGCCGUUAAACCCCCAACUUCUGAAUGUUGACCUCGGAUCAGGUAGGAAUACCCGCUGAACUUAAGCAUAUCAAUAG
rnacentral:rRNA from 1 species